GCACAGACUCUUUGUCAUGUAGGAAUGAUUGUUUGUGCUGAGCAGUGUUCCUGUGAUUUGACUCUGGUGUGAGCAGCCCUGGCCAGUGUUGACUCCUGGCAUCCCUCUCUCCCUUCCUCAGCCCUGGCCAGUGUUGACUCCUGGCAUCCCUCUCUCCCUUCCUCAGCCCUGGCCAGUGUUGACUCCCUCGGCGUCUGUCUCCCACCUGGUCCAUAUGGGGCUCAGCCCACAGAUGGCUUCUCUGUCACGUCUGAAAGUCAGCUCCAGCUCCAGCCUCUUCUCUACCCCAUCACCUCCACCCCUCAGAGACUCAGAGUGCUGCGCUGGCGGCCAUGGCCUGAAUGCCAUUAGGUCACUCCGUUCUCAUCGGCUGACUCCAGUCUCAUUGGAUGCAGACAGAAGAAUGCCUUCGUCAUGCCAUCAAAAUGAUCUGCUGAGGAAAAUCAGAAUACAACUUUACAGGUGUUAAAAGAGGAAAACAGGGGAAUAAACAUGGA